rnacentral:snoRNA from 1 species
GCCGAGACUAGUGUCACAUCUAGACAUUGUCUGUUGUCAUAGUUGUGCUUUAGUACUCGGAAAGUAACAACUAAUCUCUUUUCACUGACUAUCAUUACAGUUUAGUCAGUUACUUGAUUAGUAACAGGU